ensembl:lncRNA
AUGGAGUGUAACAAACUGCAAGGGAAACUGAGGAUUGGACUAAUUUUCAUGAGUGUCAGAGCUUUGUAUGGACCAUGGUGGAAGGGCAUUCAGGUCCUGAAUGUUUUCAUCACCAGUUUAAUUACAGCAGAAGAAAUACAAAACAAGACAAGGCUGCUCAUACAUAGCUUGCAGGGAAAACAACGUUAUCAUCACCUCAGGAUCCUGCGUGCAAUGGAAAAGCUGCCAUUAGGAGAAAGGCCGUUUCAGGCCAGCCAUGAAAGAGCCAGAUGUGGGAAGGCACAGCAGUCCCUGAGAGCCAGCCUGGAAAGGAGGGCGUACUGGGUACUCCGAACCACAAGAGCAGCAGUUUGGGCAGAGAUGCUUUGCUCCCUCCCAGCACUCAGCCCAAGCCCUUUCUGGCAGAAAUACAGGAUUUUGCAAAGGCUUUGCCAAGGCCCCUCAGUACCCCAGCUCUUCUCCCUCCGAGCAUCACACUUCAUGGAAUAGCAAGCACAGGAGUGCAGAGACAUAGAAAAGUGCAGGGAGGAUGCCCCAAAACUUCUGCUAGCCGAAUUACAGCCCCUUGUUGUAACCACUGGCUCCUACUGCUUUCUGCACAGCAAACUCACAGCAUGCAGCGGGCACUGCGCUGUCCUGACUGGCGUUAGGUGCUAACAGGAAGCCCAGAAAGACUAGAUAAAAACUGAAAGGAAACGAACAGCGCCAGAUGUAAUGAAUUUCACUGAGCACUAGACUGUCUCUGAACAGCCUGCCCCGACCGAGGGGCUGUGCGUGGCUGGGCUGCCUCAAAAGCAGAGUGGGGAGAGCGCUGACUGUGAGUCACCGCUCGUUUCCUGUUCUCUCCCCGCUCCAUGAUGGAGCAACUCGUGUUGGCCGUGCCAGCUCCCCUCGCUGGGGCACUCAGCUGCUCGCCUGGGCACCCCUGCUCCAGGCUGUGACGGUGGAAGGGGACUGUGUGGUGCCGGGGUACUGCCCUGGCACAGUGUGGGGAAGCCGCUCCAUGAGACACCCGUCACCCCUGCUCGGCAUGGGGAAGUCAGGGGCACCCCGGGUGUCACGUACAGCAAGUGGUGACGCUGGUCUGGAAGCACAUGAGUCACAGCCAAGGCAAACUCCCAGCGCUUGUCUUGGUCAGAAGAGAAGGGUCUUGGAUCCACCCCCAGGACAUGAAUCUGCUUGGAAAGAUAUUAAAAAUGGGGAUUCUACAACAAUUUAUGUCUCAGGACAUGGGUGCUUUGCUCGCAUUGAAGUUUCCCUCUUUGAUUUGUAAAACAGAAGGCCACAGACUUUAAUGCCAACAGGACUUGGGACCUUGUGCUCUUCAUCAGAGCUCCAGCUGUGGUGAUGAGCAACUUACUGAACUGAACUGCAUGGAAAACACUCGACUCAGGGUCCACGAACUGUGCAUUCAGGACUGUUUACUAAUAGCACAUCACAAAUGUAGCAUAUCACAUACUGUACUCAAACUACAAACCACUGCAACAUUACUCAUGCAAAUUUUUUAAAAUAGAAUAAAAGACAUUGAGCAAAGCAGUAAACAAACUCUGCC